AGAUUGAACGCUGGCGGCAUGCUUUACACAUGCAAGUCGAACGGCAGCACGGGGGCAACCCUGGUGGCGAGUGGCGAACGGGUGAGUAAUAUAUCGGAACGUACCCGGAAAUGGGGGAUAACGUAGCGAAAGUUACGCUAAUACCGCAUAUGCCCUGAGGGGGAAAGCGGGGGAUUCGUAAGAACCUCGCGUUUUCGGAGCGGCCGAUAUCGGAUUAGCUAGUAGGUGAGGUAAAGGCUCACCUAGGCGACGAUCCGUAGCUGGUCUGAGAGGACGACCAGCCACACUGGAACUGAGACCACGGUCCAGACUCCGUACGGGAGCAGCAAGGUGGGGAAUUUGGACAAGUGGGCACAAGCCUGACUCCAGCCAUCGGCCGCGUGAGUGAAGAAGGCUUGGGUGUAAAGCUCUUUCGAGACCGGAAAGAAAACCGCGUAACGGUUAAGUAACCGUGUA
rnacentral:rRNA from 1 species